GGGGAGGCUUACAUGCAGUCGAACGGAGAUAUCUUUUCGAAGCGAUUAGUUUACUAAGAGUGGAGAUGUUGGUAUCUUAGUGGCGGACGGGUGAGUAACGCGUGGGUAACCAGCCUUACACUGGGGGAUAACACUUAGAAAUAGGUGCUAAUACCGCAUAACAGGAGAAGAUGCAUGUCUUUUCCUUAAAAACUCCGGUGGUGUAAGAUGGACCCGCAUCUGAUUAGCUGGUUGGCGGGGUAACGGCCCACCAAGGCGACGAUCAGUAGCCGGCCUGAGAGGGUGAACGGCCACAUUGGGACUGAGAUACGGCCCAAACUCCUACGGGAGGCAGCAGUGAGGAAUAUUGGUCAAUGGGAGAGAUCCUGAACCAGCCAAGCCGCGUGAGGGAAGACGGCCCUAUGGGUUGUAAACCUCUUUUGUCGGAGAACAAAACCCGGGACGUGUCCCGGACUGCGUGUAUCCGAAGAAAAAGCAUCGGCUAACUCCGUGCCAGCAGCCGCGGUAAUACGGAGGAUGCGAGCGUUAUCCGGAUUUAUUGGGUUUAAAGGGUGCGUAGGCGGUCUGUUAAGUCAGCGGUAAAAUUGCGGGGCUCAACCCCGUCGAGCCGUUGAAACUGGCAGACUUGAGUUGGCGAGAAGUACGCGGAAUGCGCGGUGUAGCGGUGAAAUGCAUAGAUAUCGCGCAGAACUCCGAUUGCGAAGGCAGCGUACCGGCGCCAGACUGACGCUGAGGCACGAAAGCGUGGGG
rnacentral:rRNA from 1 species